GAUGAACGCUAGCGGCAGGCCUAACACAUGCAAGUCGAGGGGUAGAACACUUCGGUGUUUGAGACCGGCGCACGGGUGCGUAACGCGUAUGCAAUCUACCUUGUACAGGGGAAUAGCCCAGAGAAAUUUGGAUUAAUGCCCCAUAGUAUAUAACCUUAGCAUGUUGGUUAUAUUAAAGUUCCAACGGUACAAGAUGAGCAUGCGUCCCAUUAGUUAGUUGGUAAGGUAACGGCUUACCAAGACGAUGAUGGGUAGGGGUCCUGAGAGGGAGAUCCCCCACACUGGUACUGAGACACGGACCAGACUCCUACGGGAGGCAGCAGUGAGGAAUAUUGGUCAAUGGGCGCAAGCCAGAACCAGCCAUGCCGCGUGCAGGAAGACGGUCCUAUGGAUUGUAAACUGCUUUUAUACAGGAAGAAACCCUCCCACGUGUGGGAGAUUGACGGUACUGUAGGAAUAAGGAUCGGCUAACUCCGUGCCAGCAGCCGCAGUAACAC
rnacentral:rRNA from 1 species